GCAAGCUGCCGUUAAACUUGACUGAAGACGAUGAAGAAGACUACUGCAAUCAUGGCGGAGUACAGCCAGACUGGCCUUCUGGCGGCUCUGCUCCUCUUCACGGCGCUCACCCUCCGGGACAUUUAUGUUGGAAGGUCGAGCUCGCAGAGUGGGCACCAACCGCCCGACAACUCGGCCGUCUUCCCGGACACGGAACCGCGAAAGCCCGCUAAGGCGGCGAUCUACAGCGGCCCCGUACUGCGGUUCCAGUACUGUAUCUCCUGAGGUUACAGUAAAGUCUUCCAGGAUUACUCUCAGGCCAUCAGCCAGGUGUACCCGGACAUCCGCAUCCAGGGCGAGAACUACCCUCCCACUGCCUUCAACAGGUGUGUGGCUCAGCUGAUCUCGUACCUGAAGCUGCUCUCCAUUUUGGUUAUCGUCAGUGGUCAGAACCCCUUCUUGCUUCUCCACCUCCAGACGCCACCUGCCUGGACCUGGAGUCAGAACAACAAGAUCUUCUCCUGCCUCAUGGCCUUCUUCCUCUGUAACAUGAUGGAGACUCACUUCCUGUCCACUGGAGCCUUUGAGGUCACACUAAAUGAUGUGCCCCUGUGGUCGAAGCUUCAGUCUGGUUACGUCCCGAACAUCCAGGAAAUGUUUCAGAUCCUCGACAACCACAUGAAGAUGAACCAGGUGGAUCACAUGACCUUCACCUCCACUUAGAGCUGCAGAUUUUCCUCGUACUGAUGCAUGGAGAAACGCCUGACAGGUACAGACUCACCUGUGACCCCAAAGACUGAAUUUAGUCAAUUUAAGAGGAACAAAAAUUCGGUCCAGUCAUCCUGAUGAGACGGGUGUGACACCGAGACAGGUGCUCUGGCUUGCUAGGCGUUCUCCUGAUGGCGUUCAUGAAGGGCGGGCCUUAAAACAGAUUCUGAAGGGCCCGGCUGGAUGUUCCUCGCCAUGAACUGAGCACUCCCUCUGCACCGGCUCACCUUCAGCACUACAAUACCAGAAAGCACUGCUGGCAGCUUUGUGCUAAUUAGCGUGUAGACAGGAAGUAGAUGGCUGUUUAUGUGAAGCUUUUAUUGUGAAAAUAAUAAAAUGUUCAGGUCUGUU